CAGUCGCCGCGGGAAUACGAAGGGGGCUAGCGUUGCUCGGAAUUACUGGGCGUAAAGGGCGCGUAGGCGGAUAGUUUAGUCAGAGGUAAAAGCCCAGGGCUCAACCUUGGAACUGCCUUUGAUACUGGCUAUCUUGAGUUCGGGAGAGGUGAGUGGAAUGCCGAGUGUAGAGGUGAAAUUCGUAGAUAUUCGGCGGAACACCAGUGGCGAAGGCGACUCACUGGCCCGAUACUGACGCUGAGGCGCGAAAGCGUGGGGAGCAAACAGGAUUAGAUACCCCGGUAGUCCCUGUCUCUUAUAC
rnacentral:rRNA from 1 species